UGGAUCAGCAGUGACCACCGGUGACGUGUGAGUCGUGGAGGUUGAAUGUAUGGCUGGAACUCGGGUCCAA